GAAUAAAUAGACGUUACCCAAAGAAGAUAAUUGGGUUUUGGCGAGGGAAGUCGAUUGUUGUAGAUAGGACGUAUUAGCGGUUUUAAAAGACACAAAAAGAAAUUUUGUCAUGCAGUCGUCCAGGCCUCUCUGCGUUUUCCUGCUCGUCUUUUUCCUCUGUAAUUUAAUUAUGGCGAUCAACUCCGAGGGCAAAACACCUUUUCGAUUUCAUCGUCGUUGGAUUCCACGUAGAAAUAAACACAAGAAGCCAGAUGGUAAGACCAAUGGGAAAAGAUAUGCAUGGUCGCUGACAGAAGAUACAAGGACUGAACCGACAGCAUGGGAUUCACCGAAUGUAACAGAGAUAUCAGAGAUUGUUUUUAUUUGAAGAGAUACUUGGAUAAUCAAGUUAAGUCUGCUCGGUGAGAAUCAAUGGACAGGAAAGACGACAAAACUAUAGAAUAUGCUAAAACAUAGGGAUAGUAAUUCAUUUGCAAAUUAUGACCAUUCUAAUAUGACUGUUCAUUUUAUGGAAAAACUAAAUAUAUGUCGCUAAAACUUUACCACAUAAAAAGAACAAGGCUGUUGAUUUGUUAUAUUAAGUGAACAAUAAGCAUCGAUAAGCUACAAAUGCAAUAGCUUUCGAGCAUUUGACUGAAGUUUCAUCAUGGAAUGAUUGAUAAUUUCUUAAAUGCGCAAUAGAGAAAAGUAUACAUGAAUGCUAUAAAUAAAAAUUUAAGACUUUGGAAAAGUGAAGUUGGAAUAACCAAUUUAUAAUGGUAAUUGAACUGAGAAGAGUGCAAUUUGGGCUGAAAUCAUA